AGCCAUAUCAUGUCGAAACAGUGGUUCCUGUAUGAUCACUGAAGGUAAGCAACAUUGAGCCUGGUCAGCACCUAGAUGGGUGACCGCUUGGUAAUACUAGGUGCU